rnacentral:lncRNA from 1 species
UAGUCAUGUUAGAAAUGUAAACAAGAUGGUGAACUUUCAGUAGAGAAUAUCGUCAUAUAAAUUACUUUUAAUUUAAAAUUCAAAUAUGUGCCACUUCUGCUAUUUACUGUUUUUUUCAUAUGUUUGAACUAAUAAGAUAUUUUUAUGUGUAUUUAUAAUUUUUUUUUCAUACUAGCAGAUAUCAAAAAUAAAACAAAAAAUGAAGAAACUAAGGGAGCUAUAACACAUAUGCAAAUAUAUGCAUAAAAUCAGUCUUAAGCAUGUGCAUGAUUUUUCAUUCUUAGAUAUAACAAAUAAUGUCUAUAACUAGUAUAAUUCUAGCCAGUCCAGUAGUAUAAUAAAUUAGUCACAAUGAUUCUCACACUUCAAAUAAGACAUAUAUAACAAAAUUUGAUUAAGUUUAUAUCAAUCUAUUGUGCUUAAGAUAUGGGAGGCAUAUAAUUAGCAAUUUAGAGAUAUACUGAUGAAUUAUUAUUACAUGACCUCUGUUAGGGUGGCAAAAUAAAUAAUAGGACAAUGCUCUGGAACCGAAUAUGCUGGAAAAUCGAGGUUCAACCUGUACUAUAUAUCGCAAAAAAAAUUGUCAUUUGAAUUUUUGUAAUAUGCUGAAAUAUCUAAAUGGAGUAGAACAUGAAGAAGAAUUUAAAACAAGACUGAGUUUGAAAAAUUUAUGUGGUCACUCUGUAAUAUUCACCUAUUCCUGUUUAUUCAUUUUAGGACAUAUGAGCCAUAUAUAACAUAACUGUCCUUUUAAAAUAAAAAUUCAAUAAAUGAAUUUUCAUUGAAAAUCCUAAUAAAAGAAAUCAAAAUUUAUAUGAAAUAAUUAUUAGUUAAUAGAAGUAUAGGCUAGAUUAACGAAGGAAACCAAUCAA